UACGUAGGGGGCAAGCGUUGUCCGGAAUCAUUGGGCGUAAAGAGCGCGUAGGCGGCCCUGUAAGUCCGCUGUGAAAGUCAAGGGCUCAACCCUUGGAUGCCGGUGGAUACUGCAGGGCUAGAGUCCGGAAGAGGCGAGUGGAAUUCCUGGUGUAGCGGUGAAAUGCGUAGAUAUCAGGAGGAACACCGGUGGUGUAGACGGCUCACUGGACCGUAACUGACGCUGAGACACGAAAGCGUGGGUAGCAAACAGG
rnacentral:rRNA from 1 species